ensembl:lncRNA
CUCUGAGGGUCUGUCAUUUGAUAGGCAGCUGGCUCCCAGCUGGUUGGUCAUCAGUUGGUCAGGUGGGCCACGCUGCUCGGCCAAUCAGGAUCAUCCGGCAGUUGGGCCCUUGGAGACAGAAUCAGUUAAACCGACAAAGCUCCAUAAGGUGGCCCAGCGUCUCAGUGAGUCAGGGCUGUUUGUUCAUCAGGCUCAGUCAGGAGGGCAGUUCGGGAAAGUUCACGGUCAGGGUGGCAGUGAUAGGUCAGCAGGUUGGGGCACGCAGGGACAAAAUGUGUGCCUGCCCUCAGCCUUGGAGAAGUCCAGACACCAGACGAGCUUGUGAGGAUGGGGAAAGUCACCCUCUGCCUGCCAUCAGCCACGAUUCCCUUUGCAUUGCCAGCCGUCCCAGCCUACCACCUCCUCCCUCCAGGGCUGCUGCCCCUGAGAUGGGGCACUGGAGCAAAAGGCUCCCCUAAGAACGAGGACAGGGGACCAGCAUCCCCUCCCCCAGCACCUCUCAGCUCCACACAGACAUGGAUGGAGGCCCAGCUCUGAGGCCCCUGACAGGGCCAUGGUUACUUGGAGAACCAGACACACCCACCACCUGGACCUGGGGCUGAGAGGCUCAGAGGAGGUGACAGGACUAAAGGAUCGGGUCACCAGGCUUCACACACUCAGAGGGUCCUGCAGGUUCCCCGGCCCCUCCCACCAGGCUGCUCCUGCACUGCCCACUCCUCGGAGGGUCUUCAGUGGACAGUUCACAGGUGUGGUGGACCCACUUUGGAUGCUGAGGGAGCUGAAGGAGGCAGCUGCGUGGCUGGCUCCCUCCUCCCAGAAAGGGGAACGGCGCCCUUCCUGUGGCCUCAGCUUCCGUCUCCCACACUGAGGGAGGCCGUGGGUGACCAGAUGCCACCUCCCACCGGGGGCAGGACAGGACUUGGCUGACCCGGGGGAGAUUCUGCAUCUUCCAGCCUCUCCUGGGAACUUCUGCCCAGCAGGGCUGCCCCCUGCUGCCACCUGGUCUUAGGCCCUCACGUCCUGCAGAAAAAGGCCUGGACUCAGAGAGAAAGCUGGAAUCUGAAUGCAGCCCCUGCCCGUCUGGCUGGGUCCACUUCCUGAGCUCUAGGGCCUCAGGCUUCUCCUCCUCCUCCUGAGCAGUGAGGCCCAGGGACAGUCUGAGAGCAGGGCGGGGAGCUGGGAGGGGAGGAAGCUCAAGAGCCAGGAUUUAGCUGAUAAUGCCCAGCAGAGGCCUGAGUUCAAGGGCCACUUGGGGCCCCUGCUGGCUGUGUGUUCUUGGGCAAGUUUCAUAAACUACUCUGUGCCUUUGUGCUCCUCAAAGGGUGAUAACAAGAGAACCGAGGCCAACGCCAUGUGGGGGUCUCUACUGAUCCCUCUGCAAAGACCCAUGCGGGAUAUGGGGCUCUGGGUAGGGCUCUCCUCCUCGCAAUGUGCUGCUGGGGAGACGUGGAGCAGGGUGACCUCUCAGAGCCUGGCCAUCCCCAUCUUCAUGCCUCUGUCUGGAGGGUCAAAUGAGGUAAAGGUCAAGUGCUUGCUUCCACGGCCCCCCAGCCAGGUGUGCUGAAUUCCCUGCAGACUCUCCAGGUCAGAGUCCUUUUGACAUGAGGUCCACCUCCCACCUGAGACUCAGCAGGUGAGCUUCUUGGGGAGCUUGUCUGGUUUUGUUUUUAAUCACAGGAGACAGAAAUAUGUGACUGGGCUGCAUUUACCUUCACGUUGUAAUCAAGUUGUAACCACCUGGAGAUGAAGUGAAGGCCCAUCUUCAAACCCAAGUUCAAUCCUCAGCCGGUCUCGCUCAUUGAAGGGGAGAGGGUCAUGGCAGCUGGAACAAGAUCUGGGUAGCCGGGACCGUGCCAGUGGCAGUGCUCAGCCCAAACAUUAAUUUGGGUUUGAGGACCUCUCUCUGGAAGGGUUUCAUGACCAGAUCUUCCCGGAGAUGGCAUCACAGGGUUUGGUCUUUGAAAUAUUUCUCUUGCUGGGCCAUUUCAUUUAUUCUCCAUUCUCUUCCAUUCUCAUUGUUUUUUGGGCUCACUUUCUGGUCAUUCACAGGGUCUUACAGAGUAACUAUCUUCCAGUGGCUCACCUCCCCUGACAGCUUAUGCUCACCUCCUCCCUUUCUUUCUUUUCUGGAAUCUGCUUCUUUGGAUGAACCACACUGGUGUUUUCAAAAGGUUCCUUGCUGGUUUUGUCUUUUUUCAUAAUCUGAUAGUAUUUUAACCCCUUUUUGUCUUUUUGUGGUGACAUUUUUGAGCUUCUGCUUAAGCCGCUGUUGAGUCAUCAUUUACAGAGGGUGAAAAAAUUAAAAAAUGGUGAUUAUAGGCUCCCCUGAAACUUCAAACACAACUGACCAAAUCUGAGAGCUUCAGGGGCUGUAGCCGAUAGCAAUCCAAUAUUAUCCCCUCUGUGUGUAACUUUUAGACAUGAGAGGGCUUCUAGGCUUAUGGGGAAGCUUUGGUAUUUCUGGUUCUUGGGGUCAAACAAGUUUGACCUUGUGUAGGCACUUCCAUUUGAAGACUCAUUUUCUCAUGUCCUCUCAUAUUUUUCCAGGAGUAGUGGAUCUCAUUUACCUCACUUAUGGAUGUUUCAAUUCCCUCCUUUCAGUGUUCUGUGGAUUAGGGAGUCUCACUGGGUAGCUGUUAUCCAAGGUCCAAGGAGUGGCCAGUGGGACAUGAAUGCCCCCCCCCCCCCCUUGAAGAGAGCUUGUACUUGAAUAGUUGAGCUUUCCACUGAGGCACUGCCUGUCACCUUCCUCAUCCCCAGGGUGUCUCAUCUUCUUGAAGCUGCCAUUCCCACCCUGGCUAUCCAGGCCACCCAGAGCCCUGGUCGCCCCAAGUGGAGUCAAUAGCAGAGUCAAAUUUGUAGGGUAAGAAGCGCCAAGGCUGGACAGUGUCUCUCUGGGCUUGGCACAAAACUCUUCUCUCCUCUCAGUGAUUACCUGGCCAACAGCCAGCUCCUGCUCUGGUUGGAUCUCAGUGAGACCUUGGCAACCAUUCCUUCCCUCUGUGACUCAUCCACAGACAUCUCCAUGGAUCACUUGCUCUCUGAGUCCAUGUUGCAGAAGGAACCAUCCCUAAUGUCUCCUGUCUUCUUCCAGCUUGGCCCUUUCUCUCACUCCAUCGCACUGGAAUCAGCAAGUGUCCCACACUUUAGAGGUGAAAAAAUUGGGCACAGAAAGGGUGGUCUUCUUAAGAUUACAUGGAGUUGACAGUGUGGUAAACCCUUGAAACCAGGGCUCAAUAAUCCGGGGCUGCCUCCCAGGGAUUCCUAAUGUCCAAGAGUCCCAAUGAGCUGCCCCACCCCGAGCACAUGGCCUGAGGUUUCCAUGGUGAUGGUAAAUCAACAUCACCUGCUGCUUUCAUUGCUGCCAUGUCCCCUCUCAUCCUAUUCCAUGCUGAAUUUCCAGAUGUGAUCAACAGAAUCAAGGGGAAUGAAACCCAAAGGUGAGGGGCCAGACCCUGGGAGUGCCAGCAUUGGAGUCACAACAGGGGCUGGCAGCUCUGAGGCUCUGAGUUCAGAGGCUUCAAACCUUGGGAGAAGAGCAGCAGCACCCAGAACAGGAGACUGGGGACCAAGUUUGUGCUGGGAAACAAGAAUAUAGGCAUGAGUUGGAGAAUCCUAAUGUUCAUGGGACCCCAGCAGGCAGAGUUAGGACCAGCUCAAGGGAGGACUGUUGCUGGAGGGUUGUCCAAGAACAGGGCAGACACCUGGAUCAGCGUGGGGUCUGCAAGGCACUGGAGGCCCAAACGCUGCUGCAGGGACAGUGCCAAGGGGACUCAAACAUGGGGUAUGGGUAGGAAAAGGUGCUUUUCAUCAUUUUUCAAAACCCAAGUGACAAAUUCACGUGCUUCUAAGAGGCAAAUAGCUCCACAUGGCGCACAGAGAACUUCUUCCUCCUGCCACCACUGUCUCCUCUCAGACGAAGUAUUGUUCAUAAUUUGACCUUUUCCUAUUUUUUUAACCUCCUUCAGUUCUCUUUUCAUCUCAUCCUUUACCCCUGAUAUUUCUUCCUCAGUCUCUCAUAUCUCAACAUUUGCCUCCUGCUUUUAGAGGUGACUGCUCCAUUAAUUCUGUCAUUUGAUUGCAAAUGUUUGGUCUUACUUUUCAUUUGCCUCAUGGCAACCUUUUUUUCAAAUGAUUUUCCUGUCCUUUUUCUGGUCUCAUCUUUGAUUAUAUUACGUGCUCAUCCUUUUCUGAUAACUUAUCUUUGAAUGAGUUGCGUUUACCUGCCCUAAAUUCCUGUAAAAGUCUCAUGUGGGCUGUGUCUCAGGGUCUAAUAUAUUUCCUUGUGAUUCAAGGUUUUGUGUUUUGUUCCCCAUCUGAAGGAAAAUGAAAUAGAUAGUAUAUACGAGAGGCUUUAUAAUAUGCACAGGAAGCCAUAGAGAGUACCAAUAAGAUAAACUGUGUGCCCACCUCCCAGCUUAAGAAAUGAACCACCACUAUCCUUGCGGUCUUCUGUGUGUCCCCAAAUAUAUCUCCCUCACACCCAGGGUAACUAGUAUCCUGAAUUUUAUGCUUAUUAGUCACUUUUCUUCAUGGUUUUAUUGCAUUAGGGGGUAUAUUCACAAUCAUUAACUGCUUUUGCAUGUCCCAGGACAUUACAUAUAAAUGGUUUUGGUCUGCAUGUCUGUCUGAUGUAGCUAUUGCUCAAUUAUGCUACAUAACAGUCAUCCCAAACCUCAGUGGGAUGCCACUGAGGAGGCAGUGGGGCUCAGCUGGGCUUAGAGCCAGGAUCCAGGCUUCGUCCAGAUCUGGUCCACAUGUCUCUGGUGUGUUUGAACCUACGGCUCCCUGACACAUGCUCUUCGGAUGGCAGGAGACAGAAGCACAAGAGAACAGGACCAAAUACACAAGCUCAUUUCAGCUUUUGUUUAUGUGAUAUCCACUAAUUACAUUGGCCAAAGCAAGACACACUCUAGCCAAAAGUUCAAAUAAUAUUAAAAUUACACUGUGGAUUUGUUCUAUGUUGGAACGUAGCUGUAAUUUAUUCGUUUUUAUUGAUGUAUUUCAUCAUAAAGGCUAUGUUUCCACUGCUCUGUUAAUAAACAUUUGAGUGGUUUCUAGAUUUUGUGAAUGAAGAUAACGCUGUUCUGAACAGUCCUUCGGAUGUGUCCUGGGGAAGGUGUGCAAGAAUUUCCAUAGAUUGCGUAACUAUUCAGCCUACUUAUCCAAAAUUUGGAAGUAAAGUAGAAAAAUGAUGGUGUGACAGUUAAGUCUACUUAAAGGUCAUCUAACUCUCAUGGAAUGAAACUUUGUUGAUUUGCGUUUGCAGUUAAUUGGAACUCUGUUUUAUAACUCUCUAAUGUUAAAGGUUAACUAAAGAAAACUGGUUUGGUGUGUUGAUUUUUAAAUACUCAGUAAAGGAGAUAACACCAAAAGUUACAGUAUUAUUGCCCUGGGGGACAGUAAUCAGUUUUGUAUUGAAUUUAGCAAUUUUAUUUCAGCAUUUCUUUCUCCAUAGAUUGUAUAAAAAUACUCAGGUCCUCAUUGAAUUAAUUUUGCAUUAUGCUGCUCACUUCAUUAACAAGUUAAAUAAAAUCUUGGCAUGUGCUUGCCAUUUAUUUAUAUGAGAAUUCUUUUUAGCAAUUUGAGAUGAUGCUUUUAUCUAUCUAGGGGUAGAAUUGCUGGUUCACGGGAGAGAGCCACGUUUAAUUUUACUCAAUCAUAAGAUCAAACUGUUUUCCAAAGUGACUGAAUCAAUACACACCCCCAACUCCAGAUUAACAGACCUUGCCAACAGUGGUAGGCAGCUGUGCACCUGUUCACAAGAAUACGCUGUCCCCUGUGUCAUUCACCA